CCUACGGGAGGCAGCAGUGGGGAAUUUUGGACAAUGGGGGCAACCCUGAUCCAGCCAUGCCGCGUGUAUGAAGAAGGCCUUCGGGUUGUAAAGUACUUUAGUCAGGGAAGAAAAGCCUAUCACUAAUACUGUUAGGUCAUGACGGUACCUGAAGAAUAAGCACCGGCUAACUACGUGCCAGCAGCCGCGGUAAU
rnacentral:rRNA from 1 species